UACGGGGGGAGCAAGCGUUGUUCGGAUUUACUGGGCGUAAAGGGCGCGUAGGCGGUCAGCACAAGUCAGUUGUGAAAUCUCCGGGCUUAACCUGGGAAUGGCAUUCGGGACUGCAAGGCUGGAGUGCGGCAGAGGAGACUGGAAUUCCUGGUGUAGCGGUGAAAUGCGCAGAUAUCAGGAGGAACACCGGUGGCGAAGGCGGAUCUCUGGGCCUUACCUGACGCUCAGGCGCGAAAGCUAGGGGAGCGAACUGG
rnacentral:rRNA from 1 species